AGAGUUUGAUCCUGGCUCAGAAUGAACGCUGGCGGCGUGCCUAACACAUGCAAGUCGAACGAGAACGUGGGACUUCGGUUCCAUUAGUAAAGUGGCGCACGGGUGAGUAACGCGUGGGUAAUCUACCCUUUUGUCUGGGAUAACGUUCCGAAAGGAGCCCUAAUACCGGAUAAGACCACAGGGACUUCGGUUCAAGGGGUAAAAGAUCCUGUAAGGGAUUGCGAGAGGAUGAGCCUGCGUGACAUUAGAUUGAUGGUGGGGUAAUGGCCUACCAUAUUGUCAACGAUGUCUAGCUGGUCUGAGAGGAUGAUCAGCCACACUGGGACUGGAACACGGCCCAGACUCCUACGGGAGGCAGCAGUGAGGAAUUUUGCGCAAUGGGGGAAACCCUGACGCAGCAACGCCGCGUGAGUGAAGAAGGCCUUUUGGUUGUAAAGCUCUGUCGCCCGGAAAGAAACUAUGGGGUAGGAAAUGAUCUCAUACUGACGGUACCGGGAAAGGAAGGACCGGCUAACUCCGUGCCAGCAGCCGCGGUAAUACGGGGGGUCCAAGCGUUAUUCGGAAUCAUUGGGUGUAAAGCGCAUGCAGGCGGUUGGGUAUGUCAGAUGUGAAAGCUCAGGGCUUAACCCUGAAAGAGCAUUUGAAACUGCCCGGCUUGAGUCUCGGAGAGGAAAGUGGAAUUCCCAGUGUAGAGGUGGAAUUCGUAGAUAUUGGGAGGAACACCGGUGGCGAAAGCGACUUUCUGGACGAAGACUGACGCUCAGAUGCGAAAGCGUGGGUAGCAAACAGGAUUAGAUACCCUGGUAGUCCACGCUGUAAACGAUGGGUACUAGGUGUCGGGGGUAUUGACCCCUUCGGUGCCGAAGCUAACGCAUUAAGUACCCCACCUGGGGACUACGGCCGCAAGGCUAAAACUCAAAGGAAUUGACGG
rnacentral:rRNA from 1 species